rnacentral:rRNA from 1 species
CGGUAAUACGUAGGGUGCGAGCGUUAAUCGGAAUUACUGGGCGUAAAGCGUGCGCAGGCGGAUUACUCAUGAGGAUGUGAGUCUAUUGAGUCCGCCUGGGAAUGGCAUCCUGAACUGGCAGUCUAGAGUGUGUCAGAGGGGGGUGGAAUUCCACGUGUAGCAGUAGGAUGCGUAGAGAUGUGGAGGAACACCGAUGGCGAAGGCAGCCCCCUGGGAUAACACUGACGCUCAUGUACGAAAGCGUGGGUAGCAAACAGGAUUAGAUACCCUGGUAGUCCACGUUUCGGGCGAUGUCAACUGGUUGUUGGGGGAGUGAAAUCCCUUAGUAACGAAGCUAACGCGUGAAGUUGACCGCCUGGGGAGUACGGUCGCAAGAUUAAA